rnacentral:rRNA from 1 species
GAUGAACGCUAGCGACAGGCCUAACACAUGCAAGUCGAGGGGCAGCAUGGUAUCAGCUUGCUGAUACCGAUGGCGACCGGCGCACGGGUGAGUAACGCGUAUGUAAUCUGCCUGUAACAGAGGGGUAACCCGGAGAAAUCCGGCCUAAUACCUCAUAGCACAUAUUAUUCGCAUGAGUUUUAUGUUAAAGAGACUCGGUUACAGAUGAACAUGCGUUCCAUUAGCUGGUUGGCGGGGUAACGGCCCACCAAGGCAACGAUGGAUAGGGGGUUCUGAGAGGAAGGUCCCCCACACUGGUACUGAGACACGGACCAGACUCCUACGGGAGGCAGCAGUGAGGAAUAUUGGUCAAUGGGCGAGAGCCUGAACCAGCCAAGUCGCGUGGAGGAAGACUGCCCUACGGGUUGUAAACUCCUUUUACCUGGGAAUAACGGGCGCUACGCGUAGCGCUGUGCAUGUACCGGGAGAA